rnacentral:rRNA from 1 species
CAGUCGAGGGGCAGCAUGGCGUGUAGCAAUACGCGCUGAUGGCGACCGGCAAACGGGUGCGGAACACGUACGCAACUUACCCAUAACUGGGGGAUAGCCCACCGAAAGGUGGAUUAAUACCCCGUAACACUUAGAGGUGGCAUCGCCUUUUAGUUAUAGCUCCGGCGGUUAUGGAUGGGCGUGCGGCUGAUUAGGUAGUUGGUUGAGGUAACGGCUCACCAAGCCUUCGAUCAGUAACUGGUGUGAGAGCACGACCAGUCACACGGGCACUGAGACACGGGCCCGACUCCUACGGGAGGCAGCAGUAAGGAAUAUUGGUCAAUGGACGCAAGUCUGAACCAGCCAUGCCGCGUGAAGGAUGAAGGCCCUCUGGGUUGUAAACUUCUUUUACAGGGGAAGAUAUCUUUUGAUUCUUCGAGAGUUGA